UUAAAACAAGAAACGUAGUGUUAUUUACAAGUAAGGUGUUGUAUUUUUUUCCUUCAGUGAAAAAUCAUGCAGAAGAAGCUCAUGCUACAUCAGCAACCCCUGCUGCUUGUUGAGAAAGCGACACUGCUUCCCCACUGCCACAGGCAUGCCCUCCUUCCUCCAGCACAGUCGCUGUGUCACUUCAGCAUCCACCUGUAUCACUGGCUGUGCCUCGCCCAGCUGUAAUACCCGACAGCAUGGCUACACCACAAGUAUUUGCUGAAGUCGAGAGCCUUCUCCCUCUUUCUUUCAACAAGAGAAAGAAAAGGAGAAGCCUGCGAUUUAGGUGUGGGCAUCGGCAAGUUGGCAGUAAGGAUGAUUCCUUUUGACAGGAUCGCAGUUUUGGAGGGCUCGAUCACAACCAAAGAUGUUGCCAUUGGAAAGCUUCAUGAAUUUAACAAUUCAACUUGGCUGACCGCAACAACUCCCCGCCUCCUCAGGAGGGAUGAGACAAAACAUGCGCCCUCCGAUACGAGCACUGUCAAAGCCAUAUGCUAUUUUUCGCACUACAAGCCCAGAGCUCCCACCCCCUAGCAA